rnacentral:lncRNA from 1 species
AUUUUGAAUAAGAUAUCCAUUUGCGUUAUUCAGUGCCCAACGAUAUAAUAUAUCUAAUUUUUUUCACUGAUAUUGAUUAAUAUUAGUAAAAGAAUAGGUUAAGAAUCUAGAGCUACACAUCUCUGCUCGAACAUGAAAAAAAGGAUUGAACAAAUGAAUAGACCGGCAAAAGAUGGCCAAUGGAACCUUGUAGUUCUUUUGUGUUCCCUGUGAGCCCCUCG